CUGCACCUGGUCUGCUUGCACAUGCGCAGUGGAAAUCUGCCGGUACUUUGGAGGCGGCGGAUUUGAACGGGCCAAUCAGCACGCUGCAUCUGAGGACCCGUCGGACUCUGAGUUUGUACAGAGAGACUUCUCAUCCACCCUUAUCCAUCAGAGCUGCUCUCUUUCUCAGGUAAUGAAGAUGCUCAGAGUGCUACAAGUGCUACCACACAAGAAUCCAGUGUGCCAGAUGCAGAAGACACAGUCACAGGCGGACCAAAAGAGGCUGAGAUGGAGGCUGUGCCAGUAACAACCUGCCUUAUUGUGUGUGGGUCCUCUUGCUUCACUGCUGACUGCUUCAUGUUGAGCAUUGAUCAGAAGAUUGUCAACGACCACAUCACUGCCUUCCCCUGUGCCAUCUGCCUCAUGUUUAGCAGUUACUA